rnacentral:sRNA from 1 species
UAUCACCAUUUAAUCACCCAUCCAUGGGUUAAUAUAUAUACACAGCUGGGAAUGACAAGGAGGAACUAAAGCCACUAUAGGCUAUCAAAUCUUUUAGAGAUAAGUUGGAAACUAGACACUUUUUUCACAAAUAAUUUGCAAAGUAGGUAGUUUUUUUAGAAAUAGGGAGAAUAGACACUUUUCUCUUUCCUCUCUAAUACAACUUUCUAUCUAAUAGAGAUUUUAGUGAAUAACUUUUAUAACCUUCUGUUAUUUUGUCAUAUAGUCAAAUAAAGAUAAAAAUAACUUUUGUUUCUUCUUCUCUUUACUUAUAUAUAUUUAGUUUGUUUUGUUAUGAAUUCUUUAUUAAAUAAUUACCAUAAAAUAUAUAUUAAUCUUUUAAAUUUUUUUCUGAAUCUAAAAAGUCUAAUUUUGCUAUAUUUUACAAAUAUAU